rnacentral:rRNA from 1 species
UACAGAGGUCCCAAGCGUUGUUCGGAUUUACUGGGCGUAAAGGGUGCGUAGGUGGUGAGGUAAGUCUGAUGUGAAAUCUCCGAGCUUAACUCGGAAAUGGCAUUGGAAACUACCUUGCUAGAGGGUUGGAGGGGGGACUGGAAUACUUGGUGUAGCAGUGAAAUGCGUAGAUAUCAAGCGGAACACCAGUGGCGAAGGCGAGUCCCUGGACAACACCUGACACUGAGGCACGAAAGCUAGGGGAGCAAACAGG